rnacentral:lncRNA from 1 species
UCUGAUCACUUUCUAUGAUUUCAUUUUAAUUUGACUAUAUUAUCAUUAGACAAAGUAAAAUUGCUUUUGUUGUUGAUGUAAUAGCUGUUAACUUAAGAUUGAGAAGCACAUACUCCGGAGCCAGAGCAGCUCCUCAGCACCACCGUCUCUUAGCUGUGAGAUCUUGGACAGGUUACAUGAUGGACCUAUUAAGGUGAAGGAUGUACCUAUGACAGCCUCCAGAGGUCCUACCAACAUGUGCCCAAGGUGGUUGGGGUACUUACCUCCUUACCUUAUUUAAAAUGCUGAUGUAAAUAUUCGCCUCUUCCUACUCCUCCUUUAAUUCUUUGGCCAUUUCAACAAGUUUAUGAGGUAGAGCCGUGGCACGGGGUGGGGAUGUUAAUAUAUUUGUGCAAAAACCAUAUUUUAAAAGACACUUUAAAAAACCUCUUGGAUCUCUAACAUUUUAAUUAUACCUUCUCUAUUUUUCAGUUGGAAAAUGGUUGUGUUUCUCAAAUUGUAAAUACAAAAGUCUUCCAACUCUACCGUUCGGGAUUGUUCAUGACAUUUCAUGU